ACUGCCUGAUGGCGGGGGAUAACUACUGGAAACGGUAGCUAAUACCGCAUAACGUCGCAAGACCAAAGAGGGGGACCUUGGGCCUCUUGCCAUCGGAUGUGCCCAGAUGGGAUUAGCUAGUAGGUGGGGUAACGGCUCACCUAGGCGACGAUCCCUAGCUGGUCUGAGAGGAUGACCAGCCACACUGGAACUGAGACACGGUCCAG
rnacentral:rRNA from 1 species